UACGAAGGGGGCUAGCGUUGUUCGGAAUUACUGGGCGUAAAGCGCACGUAGGCGGAUAUUUAAGUCAGGGGUGAAAUCCCGCAGCUCAACUGCGGAACUGCCUUUGAUACUGGGUAUCUCGAGUAUGGAAGAGGUGAGUGGAAUUCCGAGUGUAGAGGUGAAAUUCGUAGAUAUUCGGAGGAACACCAGUGGCGAAGGCGGCUCACUGGUCCAUUACUGACGCUGAGGUGCGAAAGCGUGGGGAGCAAACAGG
rnacentral:rRNA from 2 species